rnacentral:rRNA from 1 species
UACGUAGGGGGCAAGCGUUGUCCGGAAUCAUUGGGCGUAAAGAGCGUGUAGGCGGCUCGGUAAGUCUGCUGUGAAAGUCCAGGGCUCAACCCUGGGAUGCCGGUGGAUACUGUCGAGCUCGAGUCCGGAAGAGGCGAGUGGAAUUCCUGGUGUAGCGGUGAAAUGCGCAGAUAUCAGGAGGAACACCAAUGGCGAAGGCAGCUCGCUGGGACGUGACUGACGCUGAGACGCGAAAGCGUGGGGAGCAAACAGG